AAGUCGUAACAAGGUUUCCGUAGGUGAACCUGCGGAAGGAUCAUUACCGAGUUGAUUCGAGCUCCGGCUCGACUCUCCCACCCUUUGUUUACCUACCUCUGUUGCUUUGGCGGUGCCGCCUCCGGGCGCCCGCCAGAGGACUUCAAAACUCCAGUCAGUGAACGUCUCAGUCUGAAAAACAAGUUAAUAAACUAAAACUUUCAACAACGGAUCUCUUGGUUCUG
rnacentral:misc_RNA from 1 species